rnacentral:rRNA from 1 species
CGAAUGAAGCGGCAAGAGCCCAAAUUUGAAAUCGGGCAACCGAGUUGUAAUUUGGAGACGGGACACUAGAGAGGAGGAAGGCGAUUAAGUGCCUUGGAACAGGCUGCCGUAGAGGGUGAGAGCCCCGUGAAUCGCUGGAGACCGAUCGAUUAGUGCCCGCCGAAGAGUCGAGUUGUUUGGGAAUGCAGCUCUAAGCGGGUGGUAUAUUCCAUCUAAGGCUAAAUAUUAGCGAGAGACCGAUAGCAAACAAGUACAGUGAUGGAAAGAUGAAAAGAACUUUGGAAAGAGAGUGAAAUAGUACGUGAAAUUGUUGAAAGGGAAGGGUAUUUGAUCCGACAUGGUGUUUAGCAGCGGCCCGUUCCUCGUGGAUGGGUGCACCUGGUUUACACUGGGCCAGCAUCGGUUCUGGGAGCCAUAUACGGGGUUCGUGAAUGUGGCCCUUCGAUUCUGUCGGAGGGUGUUAUAGCGCGGACAUCUUGUGGCUAGCCG